GAGACUUGUAAGUAAACCAGCAGACAAACAGCCUUUAGAUGUGAAAUGGAUAUACAGAAAGAAAGCCGAAAAUAAAUUUAAAGCUAGGUGGAAAUAACACCAGAUCGUGAAGUGGGCGCCAUAUUGUUUGGGGCGGUCGGAGCAGUGGGCACAGCGGCGGCAGCGACGAUGUGCGCGCGGGACAGCUAGCGGCGGGGCUCGGCGCAGCUCGGCGCCCGCUCGCCGCUCUGGGCCGCGCUCACCAGCCAGCCGCUGGACGAGGACGACGCUGAUGAUGAUAUUACCGUCGACGAUAGCUAACAGCUCGACGAGCGCUCCGUCACCGACAUCGGCGAGCGCAUGAAGUUAUUCUUGGACAUUCCCCUUAGAUUUUAGUUGUGUCACGACUGUGUUUUCAUUACCUACGAAUUUUGAGACGAUCGUUAGUAAAGUUAAGGCAAUUUUAUUGCCUUGUAAAUAGUGUCGCUAUAAAAAUGUAGCUAUUUACAUUUAAAAGCCAAAAUUAGGUUAAAUAAUGCAUUGUCGUUUGUACCUUUAGGUACCCAUUAAAUUGUUACCUAGAUAAUUGUUCAUAUAAGAUUUAGACCUGCACAUAGAAUGAUCUCAGCAUAACAUCAUUAUAUAUUAGAUUACUUUUAAAUCACUCGAAUUUAUACUUACUUAUUUUGUUCUAUGAUUAACUACAAUAGAAAACUCAUAAUUACACGGGGACAGUUAAAUAUUUCUUUAAGUUACUUCAAAUUACAGAAAUUGGUAAAAUAUAAAAGUUAUUUUUUUUACGUGUUUCUAUGACUGUAUAUUAGAAUUUGUAUACAAUGUAAAUAAAUUUCCUAAAAUUAUCACCUACCUACUAUAAAUGUAAAAUAUGAGUCUGUGUUUUAUGACACUAUAACGUACUCCAAGUAAAGACAAAAGUAUUCAAUCUUACGUGGUCUUCAUGUUAUUUAUUAUUAAAUGACUUAUAUAAGAAUAAUAUAAAAUUAAGGAGUAAAAAAGACCAACUUCAUAUAGGUAAUUUGCAUGUUAUGUAGAAAGGUGUGUAUAUAAUAUUAAUGCACUGUAUCUAAAAAUAAAUACUUUAGAAAUGUUUUUAUAACAAUUGCUGGCUGAUAUCAAUUUACAUACUCGUAAUUACCAUCGAGCUUUAACAACCUAGGAUAGGUAGGGAGAUUAAUUUAGAUCAAAUUAUUCUUACGCUGUCUUUACUGUUUAGUGUAAAAAUAAAUAAUUAUUUGUAAACAAUAUAUUAUGCAAAUUAAUAAA
rnacentral:misc_RNA from 1 species